AGUGAACGCUGGCGGUAGGCCUAACACAUGCAAGUCGAACGGCAGCACAGUAAGAGCUUGCUCUUACGGGUGGCGAGUGGCGGACGGGUGAGGAAUACAUCGGAAUCUACUUUUUCGUGGGGGAUAACGUAGGGAAACUUACGCUAAUACCGCAUACGACCUACGGGUGAAGGCAGGGGAUCUUCGGACCUUGCGCGAUUGAAUGAGCCGAUGUCGGAUUAGCUAGUUGGCGGGGUAAAGGCCCACCAAGGCGACGAUCCGUAGCUGGUCUGAGAGGAUGAUCAGCCACACUGGAACUGAGACACGGUCCAGACUCCUACGGGAGGCAGCAGUGGGGAAUAUUGGACAAUGGGCGCAAGCCUGAUCCAGCCAUACCGCGCGGGUGAAGAAGGCCUUCGGGUUGUAAAGCCCUUUUGUUGGGAAAGAAAAGCAGCAGGUUAAUACCCCGCUGUUCUGACGGUACCCAAAGAAUAAGCACCGGCUAACUUCGUG
rnacentral:rRNA from 1 species